rnacentral:rRNA from 1 species
AGAGUUUGAUCCUGGCUCAGAUUGAACGCUGGCGGCAUGCUUUACACAUGCAAGUCGAACGGCAGCAUAGGUGCUUGCACCUGAUGGCGAGUGGCGGACGGGUGAGUAAUGCAUCGGGACGUGUCCGGAAGAGGGGGAUAACUGUUCGAAAGAACAGCUAAUACCGCAUAAUAUCCGAGGAAGAAAGCUGGGGACCUUAGGGCCUGGCGCUUACGGGGCGACCGAUGUCUGAUUAGCUAGUUGGUGGGGUAAAAGCCUACCAAGGCGACGAUCAGUAGCUGGUCUGAGAGGACGACCAGCCACACUGGGACUGAGAAACGGCCCAGACCCCUACGGGAGGCAGCAGUGGGGAAUUUUGGACAAUGGGGGCAACCCUGAUCCAGCAAUGCCGCGUGUCUGAAGAAGGCCUUCGGGUUGUAAAGGACUUUUGUUGGGGAGCAAGGUGCACAGGUUAAGAGCUAGUGUACUUGAGAGUACCCAAAGAAUAAGGACCGGCUAACUACGUGCCAGCAGCCGCGGUAAUACGUAGGGUCCAAGCGUUAAUCGGAAUUACUGGGCGUAAAGAGUGCGCAGGCGGCUUUGUAAGCUUGAUGUGAAAUCCCCGGGCUCAACCUGGGAACUGCAUUGAGGACUGCAAGGCUAGAGUGUAGCAGAGGGGGGUAGAAUUCCACGUGUAGCGGUGAAAUGCGUAGA